UGGGGAAUAUUGGACAAUGGGCGCAAGCCUGAUCCAGCAAUGCCGCGUGUGUGAAGAAGGCCUGCGGGUUGUAAAGCACUUUUAUCGGGAAAGAAAAGCCUAAGGUUAAUACCCUUGGGUCUUGACGGUACCCGAAGAAUAAGCACCGGCUAACUCCGUGCCAGCAGCCGCGGUAAUACGGAGGGUGCAAGCGUUAAUCGGAAUUACUGGGCGUAAAGCGAGUGUAGGCGGCUUCGUAAGUCGGAUGUGAAAGCCCCGGGCUUAACCUGGGAAUUGCAUUCGAUACUGCGCGGCUAGAGUUUGGUAGAGGAAAGUGGAAUUCCAGGUGUAGCGGUGAAAUGCGUAGAUAUCUGGAGGAACAUCAGUGGCGAAGGCGGCUUUCUGGAUCAAAACUGACGCUGAGGCUCGAAAGCGUGGGGAGCAAACAGGAUUAGAUACCCCCGUAGUCC
rnacentral:rRNA from 1 species